rnacentral:siRNA from 1 species
UAGCUAUCAAUGAUCAGUUUA